CUUUGAGAAUGGACAGGGCUGACUAGAUGAAGGAGUUGACAUCUGGUGUCUCUAGGCCCCAUCUGGCUGUGUGACCAUGGAGAUUUCAGAAGAGGAGUUUGUUGGUGGUAUGGAUUUUUUCUCUGCCUGUGAGUGCUUUGCAUGGUAAGGAGCAGGAAUAAGACUGGAAGAAAGCAUGACUAGACAUACCCAGAAAAGUGCAUUCUGGAAGGAGAACUCCCCUGUUUGAGAGCUUUGGCAAUCCUAAAUAAACAAAAAUGCAACAUUUAAAAAACAGCUCAUCUGGUGUUUCAUGUCUCAUCUGCUGCUCAGUUGGUCUGAGAAUGUGGCCCAAAAGAUGGCUUAGAUGAUCUAUGACCAAGUAAUCC